UCCGCGUUUUCUACAUUUUGUCUACUAAAUUCUUUUUUCUCUUUUAGCAUGCUAGUCUGUUUGAGGACCUCUCUUGCCUGAAGUAUCUCUACCAGUCUCUGGUGAAGCCACUCAACAUCUACAUUUUUAUUCUUCAUAUCAUCCAAAAGAAGAACAAUAUCUUGCAAAUGAUCUUCAUUGGUCUCACUGAUUUUUCUCUCUUGCAAAUC
rnacentral:lncRNA from 1 species